rnacentral:misc_RNA from 1 species
CCCACUCCAACGUCAAGUUUUCUUGAUGGCUGGGUCUUGAGAGGAUCACACCUCUCUAACGUGGCACGCUUGCGAACCUAAACCGAAUCACAACGUAGUAAAUUUUUCUCGUUGAAGUGAAGGUGAAGGCCGCCUGAAAUCAAACUCUGUA